UACGGAGGGGGCUAGCGUUGUUCGGAAUUACUGGGCGUAAAGCGCACGUAGGCGGCUUUGCAAGUCAGAGGUGAAAGCCCGGGGCUCAACCCCGGAAUUGCCUUUGAGACUGCAUCGCUAGAAUUGUGGAGAGGUAAGUGGAAUUCCGAGUGUAGAGGUGAAAUUCGUAGAUAUUGGAAGAACACCAGUGGCGAAGGCGACUUACUGGACACAUAUUGACGCUGAGGCGCGAAAGCGUGGGGAGCAAACAGGG
rnacentral:rRNA from 1 species